rnacentral:rRNA from 1 species
UGGGGAAUUUUGGACAAUGGGCGCAAGCCUGAUCCUGCCAUGCCGCGUGAGUGAAGAAGGCCUUCGGGUUGUAAAGCUCUUUCGGUGGGGAAGAAAUUGCUUCGAUUAAUACUCGGAGUAGAUGACGGUACCCGCAUAAGAAGCACCGGCUAACUACGUGCCAGCAGCCGCGGUAAUACGUAGGGUGCGAGCGUUAAUCGGAAUUACUGGGCGUAAAGCGUGCGCAGGCGGUUGUGUAAGUCAGAUGUGAAAUCCCCGGGCUCAACCUGGGAACUGCAUUUGAGACUGCACGGCUAGAGUGUAGCAGAGGGGGGUAGAAUUCCACGUGUAGCAGUGAAAUGCGUAGAGAUGUGGAGGAAUACCGAUGGCGAAGGCAGCCCCCUGGGUUACUACUGACGCUCAUGCACGAAAGCGUGGGGAGCAAACA